rnacentral:rRNA from 1 species
AAGUUUUCCUCGCUUGCCUUGGAUACAAUGUACUCAAGAACCAUGUCAUGGACUUGGUAGCUCUUCACCUUGCCGUUGCUGCUGUGCUCCACAGCACGUAUGAUCUUCCUCCUCACGAGAUGAUUGAAAUAUGCCUCUGCAACAUCUUCCGCACUCAGCCCAUCCUUCUCGCAGACAAAUCCCUCUGCCAGCCAACGCCUCGUCAGCCGCUUCCUGCUGACCUUGCUGCCCUUUCGAAAUAUGCAUAGAUACAAGGAGCAAGUCCUGAUCUCACCAGGCAUAUCAUUGUAG